rnacentral:rRNA from 1 species
GACGAACGCUGGCGGCGUGCCUAAUACAUGCAAGUUGAGCGCUGAAGGUUGGUACUUGUACCAACUGGAUUAGCAGCGAACGGGUGAGUAACGCGUGGGGAAUCUGCCUUUUAGCUGUGUACAACAUUUGGAAACGAAUGCUAAUACCGCAUAAAAACUUUAAACACAAGUUUUAAGUUUGAAAGAUGCAAUUGCAUCACCCACAGAUUAUCCCUCGUUGUAUUGGCUAGUUGGUGAGGUAAAGGCUCACCAAGGCGAUGAUACAUAGCCGACCUGAGAGGGUGAUCGGGCAAAUUGGGAGUGAGACAAGGCCCAAAAUAAUACGGGAGGCAGCAGUAGGGAAACGUGGGGAAAGGAGGAAAGUCAGAACGAGAAAAGCCGGGGGAGUGAAGAAGGAUUUAGGAUCGUAAAACUCUGUUGGUAGAGAAGAAAGGUGGGGAGAGUGGAAAGCUCAUCAAGUGACGGUAACGACACAGAAGGGGACGGCUAACUACGUG